GAUGAAGAACGUAGUGAAAUGCGAUAAGUAAUGUGAAUUGCAGAAUUCAGUGAAUCAUCGAAUCUUUGAACGCACCUUGCGCCCUUUGGCCAUUCCGAAGGGCAUGCCUGUUUGAGUAUCAUGAACACCUCAACUCUUUAUGGUUUUCCAUGAUGAGCUUGGACUCUGGGGGUUUUGCUGGCUCACAGUCGGCUCCUCUAAAAUGAAUCAGCUUACCAGUGUUUGGUGGGUAUCAUGGGUGUGAUAACUAUCUACGCUUGUGGUUGUUCCACCAGGUAACCUUCAGCAGUGGAGGUUCGCUGGAGCUCAUAGAUGUCUCUCCUCAGUGAGGACAGCCCUUUGAAUGUUUGAUCUCAAAUCAGGUAGGACUACCCGCUGAACUUAAGCAUAUCAAUAAGCGGAGGA
rnacentral:misc_RNA from 1 species